GAUUUCUGGCGAACUGUAGCGGCCCGUGCUCGUAUCGGGCGUGUGUGCCGUGACAUGUUUGUCAUCCUUCCAGAGAGCUGCGUCUACCCUUCAUUUGGCCGGACGUACGCGAUCUGGAUCAAUUACUUUGAAAAAAUUAGAGUGUUUAAAGCAGGCUUACGCUAUGAAUACAUUAGCAUGGAAUAAUAAUAUAGGACUUUGGUUCUAUUUUGUUGGUUUCUAGGACCGAAGUAAUGAUUGAUAGGGAUAGUUGGGGGUGCUAGUAUUCAGUGGCCAGAGGUGAAAUUCUUGGAUUCACUGAAGACUAACUACUGCGAAAGCAUU
rnacentral:rRNA from 1 species